GUGUGUUGGUGGAGGUCCCCUAGUGCAGCCAACCGGCCACCUGUCCCAGGAGAGGCUCACAGCGCGGGUCGCCACGUUACCACCUGGAAAUGAGAAUUUUAAGAGGUGAGUGCUGGGGUGGCGGUGACAAAAAACGAGGUAGAAGAGGGCUGCAAGUGCUGAAGAGCUAACUGACAAACUGUUUAAAGGGUUUCCCUGCUAAGGGAAGAUACCGGAAAGGAAAAGAGCCAAAUGGAAAACAAAGCACUAUUUGUAUUAAGCAUUACCUUGUCUACCACACGAUGGUAAAAAUUGCCUUGGAAAAUGUGGCUGAAGCUGAGGAUGUUCAGUGAGGCUUCCAGCUUCUUCCCCCGAGUCUGUCCACCCAGUCUUCUCAGGUGGAGAGGCUGGAAUGGAGGAUGGAGGAGGGAAGCCAGGCCUGACUCAAGGGCAUGAGCCCUGCCAGGUGGGAAACAUCCAGUAUCAUCUGAGAAGCUAGACCUGCUUAUGGAACCAACUAGUUGGAAGAAAGGAAGCAGAAGCGAAGAAGACAAACAUUGAUCCUGACCAUGAAAUGUGACCCUCUUAGAGCCUCACUGUCUAACAUGGGAGCCACUAGCCACAUGUAGCUACUGAACACUCGAAGACAUGGCAAGU